ACCCGCCCAACUUAAGCAUAUUAUUAAGCGGAGGAAAAGAAAUUAACAAAGAUUACCUUAGUAAGGGCGACUGAACAGGUAAAAGCCCACACUUAAAAUCGCUGCCGCAAGGCAGAGAAUUGUAGUCUCGAGAAGUAUGCAGAAAUGAACUCAAUAGCAGAAGUUUGUUGGAAAACAGCGACAAAGAGGGUGAAAUCCCCGUACUUGGCUAAAGAGUGAAUGGAAUGCAAACUUUCAUAGAGUCGAGCUUCUUGGGAUUGAAGCUCAAAUCGGGAGAUAAACUUCUUCCAAGGCUAAAUAUGGACGAGAAACCGAUAGCGAACAAGUACUGUGAAGGAAAGAUGAAAAGAACUUUGAAAAGAGGGUUAAAAGACUUGAAACCGUUGAAAAGGAAGCGAUAGAAGCUAAUAAACUGAACAGAAAGAGGGCGUUAGGACAAUGCCGAGAGAACUUCUCAAAGCAUCCGUUUGCGCCAGCUCACCUGGUCAGAAGGCAAAAUGAGUUCCAGGGCCCCGAAUAGCAGCAAUGCGAAGGGAUCCUGGGACUGAGGGAAGUUAUUGAUUUUGCCAAAGUGGCUUUUACCGACCCGUCUCGAAACACGGACCAAGGAGUCUAUCACAUAUGCGAGUCUGCGGGUGUCAAACCCAUAGGCGAAAUGAAAGUAAGAAUGAGAUGCCAAGCGCAAGCAGCAGCAUCGGCCGUCCCCGAUCUUUUGAGAAGGGUAUGAGCAAGAGCAUAUUUGAUAGGACCCGAAAGAUGGUGAACUAUGCUUGAGUAGGGUGAAGCCAGGGGAAACUCUGGUGGAAGCUCGUAGCGGUACUGACGUGCAAAUCGUUCGUCAAACUUGAGUAUAGGGGCGAAAAACCAAUCGAACCAUCUAGUUGCUGGUUCCCUCUGAAGUUUCUCUCAGGAUAGCAAGAACAAUUAUGCAGUUUUAUCAGGUAAAGCGAAUGAUUAGAGGUUCGGGGAACUAAAUGUUCUCCACCUAUUCUCAAACUUUAAAUUGGUAAGAUCCAACAGUUUUCUUAAGUGAACUGGGGGGUAGAAUGCGUGUUCUUAGUGGGCCAUUUUUGGUAAGCAGAACUGGCGAUGAGGGAUGCUCCUAAAGUUGAGUUAAGGCGCCAAAACCGUAAUCAUCAGACACCAUGAAAGGCGUUGAUUCAUUUAGACAGCAGGACGGUGACCCUAAGAGCAGGUAUCCGCUAAGGAGUGCUUCCCGCUCACCUGCCGAAUGAAUCAGCCCUGAAAAUGGAUGGCGCUAUAUUACGGUGCCGAUACUCGACCAUUUGGGUAAAAAGAGACUCAAAUGAGUAAGAGGGCGUGGGCAUAGUGUCGAAGCUGAGACGAAAGUCAAAGUGAAACUGUGUCUAGUGCAGAUCUUGGUGGUAGUAGCAAUUAUUCAAAUGAGAACUUUGAAGGCCGAAGUGGAGAAGGGUUCCAUGAAAACAGUACUUGGUCAUGGGUUACUCGAUCCUAAGGCAAUGCGGAAACGCAUGGAAUGCAUGGUAUUAACCAUGAAGCCGAAAGGGAAUGAGGUUAAUAUUCCUCAAGCUGGUCGUGGAUUUUGUGUGGUAACACAAAUGAACUUGGAGACGUCGGCAUGACCCCCUGGAAGAGUUAUCUUUUCUUCUUAACUGACUCAAGCCGUGGAAUUGGAUUAUUCAGAGAUACGGCCUAAACCAGGUAGAGCAGUUCACCAUCCGGACUGUCAGGUGCGUUCAUGACGACC
rnacentral:rRNA from 1 species